rnacentral:rRNA from 1 species
UUAAGCGACUAAGCGUACACGGUGGAUGCCCUGGCAGUCAGAGGCGAUGAAGGACGUGCUAAUCUGCGAUAAGCGUCGGUGAGGUGAUAUGAACCGUUAUAACCGGCGAUUUCCGAAUGGGGAAACCCAGUGUGUUUCGACACACUAUCAUUAACUGAAUCCAUAGGUUAAUGAGGCGAACCGGGGGAACUGAAACAUCUAAGUACCCCGAGGAAAAAGAAAUCAACCGAGAUUCCCCCAGUAGCGGCGAGCGAACGGGGAGGAGCCCAGAGCCUGAAUCAGUGUGUGUGUUAGUGGAAGCGUCUGGAAAGGCGCGCGAUACAGGGUGACAGCCCCGUACACAAAAAUGCACAUACUGUGAGCUCGAUGAGUAGGGCGGGACACGUGGUAUCCUGUCUGAAUAUGGGGGGACCAUCCUCCAAGGCUAAAUACUCCUGACUGACCGAUAGUGAACCAGUACCGUGAGGGAAAGGCGAAAAGAACCCCGGCGAGGGGAGUGAAAAAGAACCUGAAACCGUGUACGUACAAGCAGUGGGAGCCUCUUAAUGGGGUGACUGCGUACCUUUUGUAUAAUGGGUCAGCGACUUAUAUUCUGUAGCAAGGUUAACCGAAUAGGGGAGCCGAAGGGAAACCGAGUCUUAACUGGGCGUUAAGUUGCAGGGUAUAGACCCGAAACCCGGUGAUCUAGCCAUGGGCAGGUUGAAGGUUGGGUAACACUAACUGGAGGACCGAACCGACUAAUGUCGAAAAAUUAGCGGAUGACUUGUGGCUGGGGGUGAAAGGCCAAUCAAACCGGGAGAUAGCUGGUUCUCCCCGAAAGCUAUUUAGGUAGCGCCUCGUGAAUUCAUCUCCGGGGGUAGAGCACUGUUUCGGCAAGGGGGUCAUCCCGACUUACCAACCCGAUGCAAACUGCGAAUACCGGAGAAUGUUAUCACGGGAGACACACGGCGGGUGCUAACGUCCGUCGUGAAGAGGGAAACAACCCAGACCGCCAGCUAAGGUCCCAAAGUCAUGGUUAAGUGGGAAACGAUGUGGGAAGGCCCAGACAGCCAGGAUGUUGGCUUAGAAGCAGCCAUCAUUUAAAGAAAGCGUAAUAGCUCACUGGUCGAGUCGGCCUGCGCGGAAGAUGUAACGGGGCUAAACCAUGCACCGAAGCUGCGGCAGCGACACUGUGUGUUGUUGGGUAGGGGAGCGUUCUGUAAGCCUGUGAAGGUGGCCUGUGAGGGUUGCUGGAGGUAUCAGAAGUGCGAAUGCUGACAUAAGUAACGAUAAAGCGGGUGAAAAGCCCGCUCGCCGGAAGACCAAGGGUUCCUGUCCAACGUUAAUCGGGGCAGGGUGAGUCGACCCCUAAGGCGAGGCCGAAAGGCGUAGUCGAUGGGAAACAGGUUAAUAUUCCUGUACUUGGUGUUACUGCGAAGGGGGGACGGAGAAGGCUAUGUUGGCCGGGCGACGGUUGUCCCGGUUUAAGCGUGUAGGCUGGUUUUCCAGGCAAAUCCGGAAAAUCAAGGCUGAGGCGUGAUGACGAGGCACUACGGUGCUGAAGCGACAAAUGCCCUGCUUCCAGGAAAAGCCUCUAAGCAUCAGGUAACAUCAAAUCGUACCCCAAACCGACACAGGUGGUCAGGUAGAGAAUACCAAGGCGCUUGAGAGAACUCGGGUGAAGGAACUAGGCAAAAUGGUGCCGUAACUUCGGGAGAAGGCACGCUGAUAUGUAGGUGAAGCGACUUGCUCGUGGAGCUGAAAUCAGUCGAAGAUACCAGCUGGCUGCAACUGUUUAUUAAAAACACAGCACUGUGCAAACACGAAAGUGGACGUAUACGGUGUGACGCCUGCCCGGUGCCGGAAGGUUAAUUGAUGGGGUUAGCGGUAACGCGAAGCUCUUGAUCGAAGCCCCGGUAAACGGCGGCCGUAACUAUAACGGUCCUAAGGUAGCGAAAUUCCUUGUCGGGUAAGUUCCGACCUGCACGAAUGGCGUAAUGAUGGCCAGGCUGUCUCCACCCGAGACUCAGUGAAAUUGAACUCGCUGUGAAGAUGCAGUGUACCCGCGGCAAGACGGAAAGACCCCGUGAACCUUUACUAUAGCUUGACACUGAACAUUGAGCCUUGAUGUGUAGGAUAGGUGGGAGGCUUUGAAGUGUGGACGCCAGUCUGCAUGGAGCCGGCCUUGAAAUACCACCCUUUAAUGUUUGAUGUUCUAACGUGGGCCCCUUACCGGGGUUGCGGACAGUGUCUGGUGGGUAGUUUGACUGGGGCGGUCUCCUCCUAAAGAGUAACGGAGGAGCACGAAGGUUGGCUAAUCCUGGUCGGACAUCAGGAGGUUAGUGCAAUGGCAUAAGCCAGCUUGACUGCGAGCGUGACGGCGCGAGCAGGUGCGAAAGCAGGUCAUAGUGAUCCGGUGGUUCUGAAUGGAAGGGCCAUCGCUCAACGGAUAAAAGGUACUCCGGGGAUAACAGGCUGAUACCGCCCAAGAGUUCAUAUCGACGGCGGUGUUUGGCACCUCGAUGUCGGCUCAUCACAUCCUGGGGCUGAAGUAGGUCCCAAGGGUAUGGCUGUUCGCCAUUUAAAGUGGUACGCGAGCUGGGUUUAGAACGUCGUGAGACAGUUCGGUCCCUAUCUGCCGUGGGCGCUGGAGAACUGAGGGGGGCUGCUCCUAGUACGAGAGGACCGGAGUGGACGCAUCACUGGUGUUCGGGUUGUCAUGCCAAUGGCACUGCCCGGUAGCUAAAUGCGGAAGAGAUAAGUGCUGAAAGCAUCUAAGCACGAAACUUGCCCCGAGAUGAGUUCUCCCUGACCCUUUAAGGGUCCUGAAGGAACGUUGAAGACGACGACGUUGAUAGGCCGGUGUGUAAGCGCAGCGAUGCGUUGAGCUAACCGGUACUAAUGAACCGUGAGGCUUAACCUU